rnacentral:tRNA from 1 species
GCGGCUGUGGCGGAAUUGGUAGACGCGCUUGGUUUAGGUCCAAGUGUCCCUGACGUGGGGGUUCGAGUCCCUCCAGCCGCA